CUUGAAUAUCUUAAUUCUAAAAUGCAAACGAAAUAACUGGCCAGUGCCAAUGUUCUUGAUUCGUAUAGGGAGACAUUCCAAGACCAUGGUUUUCAAUGUAAAGCACUUAGCAGACAUUUGGCACCAUAUAAAUGUUUUAAAAUGGAAAUAUAUACCUACAGAAAAGUUGUUUCCUAGCCAAAUGGGGCUCCAAUCCCAGCUGAGGCCUUCAGAUGCUAUAAUACAUACAUACUAAUGCUAAGUAGUGGCACUAUUGACCUGUUUAAAAAACAAACAAACAAAACCCUCUAGCUCAGUAGCUUAGAUGAUAAAUUUCUGUAACAUAUGAACUUGUAUUUAAGUAAGAGAGAGAGUGCUCUCUAAGUUACUCUUAAACCCUACUAGGAAUAUAACUGAUAUAACGUGUUCUAAUUCCCAGUUUAUUUUUAGAAAUAUUACAACAGACAUCUUGUAAAGCAACCCCUCUUGUGGAACCACAUAGUGAUGAUAUGAUUGAAAUACAGUAACAGAAAAUUCCCUUAUGAAUUAGUCAAUCAAAGGUGUCUCCUAUACAACAGGAACUUCUCCCUUGAGAUUCAUAUGGGGCCAAGAGUGGUCUUCCUCCUCCAAACCCAAUGUUAAAAAAAUGACUGCUUGGAAAGAGUGUUGCAUUGUUCCUUAAAACUAAGUCCUGCCGUGAGGCCCCACUCCGGGACUCUGCAAGGUAUUGUGCAAACACGUUGUAAAUGGUCAAUCCCUGCACUCAGGAGCUUAUAACUUCAGUUAAUGAAAACAUUCAACAGCUGGAUAAAAUAAAUGGGUAGGAGUGGAGAGCAGGAGGAUGAAGUAACAGUAUGAACAACAUCCUUUCAAGUAGACCUUCAGUGUGCACAAUGUAUAUGGGGGUAGCCGUGUUAGUCUAUAUCCACAAAAGCAACAAGGAGUCUGGUAGCACCUUAAAGACUAAGAUUUAUUUGAGCAUAAGCUUUCAUGGG